ACCUGAUGCAGCCAUGCCGCGUGAGUGAUGACGGCCUUAGGGUUGUAAAGCACUUUCACCAGGGAAGAUAAUGACAGUACCUGCAGAAGAAGCCCCGGCUAACUUCGUGCCAGCAGCCGCGGUAAAA
rnacentral:rRNA from 1 species